rfam:Camelus ferus unplaced genomic scaffold scaffold851, whole genome shotgun sequence.
GAGGGUAUUGCUCAGUGGUAGAGAGCGUGCUUGGCACACACGGGGUCCUGGGUUUGAUCCCCAGUAGCCCCA